GUUUCCGUAGUGUAGUGGUUAUCACGUCUGCUUUACACGCAUAAGGUCCCCAGUUCUAGCCUGGGCGGAAACA
rfam:Nematostella vectensis strain CH2 x CH6 NEMVEscaffold_586_Cont30470, whole genome shotgun sequence.